AAGGCCAAAAAGAGCGGGAUGAAAAAAACAGGUUUAAGAUGAAAAUGAAACCGAAGAGAAGAGGCUGAAAAUAUAAUUCAUGAAAUACAGUGCUGGAGUCUGAUGGCCCAGGGAAUAAGGGGAAAGAAAGAAAUUCCACUUAAGAUCAAGGUUAGCAGAUCUGAGAGUCAAGCCAUGUUGA